GGUGUUUGCUAGGAUGCAUGAGCUAAGCAGCUAAAACAACAGCACCAGGAGAACCAGAAGAGCCUCCGAGAAGGCUCGCAUGUCAGCAGGGAAUACAAUCAAGAUAACUCAGGAAAGAAGAUAAUUCAUAAUUAUAGAAGUAAAAAUGCAUAACUCUUAAUAGUGAUCAAUUCAACAGAGAAGAGAUAGCCUUUGAAAUAUCUGAAUUUUCUUUAAAUAUUAAUGAUGAAGAAUUUAGGGAAAUAUCCACCUAUGGGACCAAGAUGAUUUCAUCCAGCCGCUGUGUCUGGAGGUCGGUCUCUAACUACAGAGUGACAUGGACCUCACACACUGCUUCCUGAAAGCAGUGAUAUACAAACGCUGUUGUGCUAUGUGUUCGCUAUUUAGCAGCGAGCUUUCAGAGUGCAGAUCUGACCUGAACACUGCUUGGUUUUCAUGCACAUUAACACAGGAGAUGGGAGUGAAACAGCAGGGCGUGAACUUCACUUGCUCAUCGGUGAAGCUCAGCAGUAAGGACUAACUACUCAGCUUGAUUGGACAAGAGCUUCUGAAUACUGGAAGAGUAUUUCUUCCAUCUUUUUCAUUCUAGUCACAUUUUCAAAUGCACAGAACCCAUAUUCUUUUCAGUUUGGACUUAAUUGCUAACAUUUAAACACAUUAUCUAUAAUUUGAAAACUAAUUCAAAUUUAUAAGUUCAAGAUAUUUCUAGUAGAUGCAUAUAUCCAGUUUAUAUAUGGAUUAAGAUGUGACUCUGUUUUUCCUUCUCUGACCAAAGAAGUUUUUUUGUUUGUUUUUUUUUUCGGGGGGGGGGUAGCUGGGAUCGAACUUGGCUCCUUGCGCUUGCGCAGCAGGUGGCGAAACCACUGAGCUAAGUCCCCAGCCCUGACCAAAGAAGUUUAAAAGAGAUGAAUGGCUACAAUGAUAUUAUAUAAUGAUAUUUUAUGUAUUCAUAUACAGAACAAGGCAUUAUUUUUCAAUAGCAAGUUUAUUUGCCACUUCAUUAAAAAAUUUUUGAGUAGGGAGAAAUCAAUCUACAGUAAGUAACUAAAGCUGCAAUUCUGGAUUUCUUUUUGGUCAAGAUAUCUUUGAAGCUAAUGAACAUUUAGUUUAGACAUAGGUACAAUACUUUGAAUUAAAUAUUUAUGGGUUCGAUAAUACCAGAAUUUAAAAAUGCACAUACACACACAUAAGAACUGAAUUUUCAUAUGAUGUAAAUACUAAUUUACUUUGCAUAAAUAAAACAAGAUGCUGUUUCUUUUCUACACCUCAAAUAGAUUCAUACUACCAAUAAAUGAAAUGUACACCAAAAUAACCAAUAUCAUUUAAAAUUUCCUAUGUUUUACCAGCAAAUUAAACCAAAAUAUCUAAUUAGUCCUGUGUGUUUAAAUGAAGAAAACUUGAUUUAAUUAUUUGCUUACUGGCUUUUUAUUUUUGCAAGACAUGGCUCAUUAAAAGUUGUGAUAGACUCUGCCAAUAAAAUCCAGCAGAUUGCACUUUGGAAACAGGUAAUUAAGUUAAAAUAUAAGACACAUAAAAUUCUGUUUUGUGGUUUUCAUCAGCCAGACACAGAAAGUAAGACAAAUAUUUGAAUUGAAUUAUAUUUUCAAAAUACACAUUUUUUUGAAAUAAAAAAUUUUAAGACCAAAUCGUUUCAUUAUUUAACACAUGUAGCACUGUUAAAUGCUAACUCAGG
rnacentral:lncRNA from 1 species